UGAGAUGGUAAAAAUACUGAUUACAGGUC
rnacentral:sRNA from 1 species